rnacentral:rRNA from 1 species
GACGAACGCUGGCGGCGUGCUUAACACAUGCAAGUCGAACGGAAAGGCCCUGCUUGCAGGGUACUCGAGUGGCGAACGGGUGAGUAACACGUGGGUGAUCUGCCCUGCACUUCGGGAUAAGCCUGGGAAACUGGGUCUAAUACCGGAUAGGAGCCAUUUUUAGUGUGAUGGUUGGAAAGUUUUUUCGGUGUAGGAUGAGCUCGCGGCCUAUCAGCUUGUUGGUGGGGUAAUGGCCUACCAAGGCGGCGACGGGUAGCCGGCCUGAGAGGGUGGACGGCCACAUUGGGACUGAGAUACGGCCCAGACUCCGACGGGUGGCAGCAGGGGGGAAUAUUGCACAAUGGGCGCAAGCCUGAUGCAGCGACGCCGCGGGGGGGAUGACGGCCUUCGGGUUGUAAACUCCUUUCGCUAGGGACGAAGCUUUUUGUGACGGUACCUAGAUAAGAAGCACCGGCUAACUACGUG